AAAUGACAUGUGUCAUUCG
rnacentral:snRNA from 1 species